AGAACCCGAGUGGGAGAGACCUCGACGACUGCUGGUCGGGGCGCCGAAGGGGCAAGCUCCCGCACACUCUCAGGCAGCAAGACCACUCGGGGUAG
rnacentral:ncRNA from 2 species